rnacentral:misc_RNA from 1 species
AAGUCGUAACAAGGUUUCCGUAGGUGAACCUGCGGAAGGAUCAUUAACAAAUCAUCCACAACACUCCCUGUGCAAAUGUGCGUUGCUCGCUGCCGCGAGGCGCGGGCAACAGCCACGACAUAUACACGUUCCGAUGGUCAGAGGUAUGACAUGUAACCAUGUUGACAACCUUUAACAAUGGAUCUCUUGGCUCUU